rnacentral:misc_RNA from 1 species
AGAAGAAGAAAAGAGGAGAGAGAGAGAAAAAACUUAAUUGAAGCUGCCUAUAACAGGGCGAAGAAUUAGCCUAAUUUAACAUAGAAAUGAGAACAAAAGUUUUGGUUGGCUAGUGUUCUGUUGCACGUUUUGUUUUUAACACAGAGAUGAGCUCGGGGGAGAAUAGAGAUGCUUCCUUCUACAAUUACAUCACUCUUAUUUUUUGUUUUAUUGAAACUUUUUUAAGGAAAUUGAAUUGUAACUCUAACCUCCUAAAUGCUUCUCUACUGACUGUGGAUGUUUCAAGUUGACAAACAAGAGAAAGUGCAGAGCCAUUUCCUUGUGUGUUCAUUUUCCACUUUGACUUCUUG